ACGGGUGAGUAAUGUCUGGGGAUCUGCCCGAUAGAGGGGGAUAACCACUGGAAACGGUGGCUAAUACCUCAUAACGUCGCAAGACCAAAGAGGGGGACCUUCGGGCCUCUCACUAUCGGAUGAACCCAGAUGGGAUUAGCUAGUAGGCGGGGUAACGGCCCACCUAGGCGACGAUCCCUAGCUGGUCUGAGAGGAUGACCAGCCACACUGGAACUGAGACACGGUCCAGACUCCUACGGGAGGCAGCAGUGGGGAAUAUUGCACAAUGGGCGCAAGCCUGAUGCAGCCAUGCCGCGUGUAUGAAGAAGGCCUUCGGGUUGUAAAGUACUUUCAGCGGGGAGGAAGGCGAUGUGGUUAAUAACCGCAUUGAUUGACGUUACCCGCAGAAGAAGCACCGGCUAACUCCGUGCCAGCAGCCGCGGUAAUACGGAGGGUGCAAGCGUUAAUCGGAAUUACUGGGCGUAAAGCGCACGCAGGCGGUCUGUUAAGUCAGAUGUGAAAUCCCCGGGCUUAACCUGGGAACUGCAUUUGAAACUGGCAGGCUUGAGUCUCGUAGAGGGGGGUAGAAUUCUAGGUGU
rnacentral:rRNA from 1 species